UACGGAGGGAGCUAGCGUUGUUCGGAAUUACUGGGCGUAAAGCGCACGUAGGCGGCUUUGUAAGUUAGAGGUGAAAGCCCGGGGCUCAACUCCGGAACUGCCUUUAAAACUGCAUCGCUUGAAUCCAGGAGAGGUGAGUGGAAUUCCUGGUGUAGCGGUGAAAUGCGCAGAUAUCAGGAAGAACACCCGUGGCGAAAGCGGCUCUCUGGAACGGUACUGACGCUGAGACGCGAAAGCGUGGGGAGCGAACAGG
rnacentral:rRNA from 1 species